GCUUUAGAGGACAGAAACCUGAUAUUUAAUAGUAAUAUUAAUAUUAUUGAUGUUUAACUCUUUUGAUUUUACUUUAAAUAGUUUAGAUGGGACAGACACAGUCUCUGUGAGGUUUUCGGUGUAAGACUGCAGCUCUGCUUCCUGUUCUUGCUUCCAACCUCUGGGUUGUCAGGUUUUAGGUUUAAAUCUACAACUACUACUCGUUACUUAUAUGGUACCUACUGCACAAGAAUAGGUUAAGAUAAAAAUAUAAAAUAAAUAAUUAGCAAAUCUGGAAUAAAAUACAUUAGGUUUUUUAGCAAAUCUACUGCUAAUAAUAAUCACGUCAAAUAAAUAACAAACAGUGGGUUUUGUUCUGCUUCAGACUGAAUUUUUUAUUUUUAUUUUUUAUUUGAUGUUCCUGUUUGGAUCUUGUUAAUCAUUUUCUCUGUUCCCUCGUAGACCGGGUCGAACCGACCUUGUUUGUCCUGAAUCCUCUGCAGCCUGAGGGGGUGCCGCAGACCGAGCUGGGUGAUAAUGUUUGUGUGGCGACUAAUUUCAGUCCAAAGGAUGGUCAGAUGGAUAUGAAUGUGGAUAAGGGGGAUAAGGUCAGUGUGAACGUCAGCAAGGCUGUUCUGGCGAAGAACAGCUCCACGUACUACUACGCUGGAUUCACCAACCGCACCAUCUUCUCCUGUGAUCUGCACAACACAUCAUCCAACAAUUACAACUUUGACUUGUGUGCUGACCUUCAGCCAGAGAAAGCCAAGCUGAACUACUACCUGAUGGUGAUGAACUCGGUGAGAGUGGUGUUCACCAAAGCUCUGGCCUUCAGCACCCUCCUCACCAUCAGAGCAGUGCUCUUCUAACGCUGAGAGCCAGCAGCUUCACUUCCUCCAGGCAAGUCUUCAACCACCAUGUCUGGGGAAAAACAGCUGAAGCUUCGAAGUGCCGAUGAAUGAAAUCAGGAUGAAAUAAGAUGGAUUAAUCGUGUGGGGGGUUUUAUAAAGUUAUUCAUUGUUCAUCUUUUAUUUCUUUACAUUUUAGUAGAAGUGACAAAUGCCCUCUAAGGACCAAACACACAUAAAUUGGAAAGAAAUAUAAAUACUAAUAGAAAAGUGAAAACCAAAAUGGUUUUGUUGCUGACGUUGUGUUUUUUUACUCUUUCACAAGUUGUGGUCAUUUCCUCAGUGUUUGAGCAUUUUCUCUCAUGAGAUUUGUCCUCAGGGGCCACUGUAGAAACUGUAAAGGCAUCACUUUCAAAUAUGUUAAAUAUUUUCUGUGCAUCAGUUGAUGUGAGCUCAACAAUAACAACAAUAGGUUUAUGCUUCUAUUAGGUGUUUGGAUCCUGUUUCGUGAGUGUUUAUAUUUACUGCGUUCUGUAACUGAACAGUCUGCACUCCUUUAGGUCCAGGUUGAAAUGUUGCUGUUUAACACUUACACAUUCACACACACCAGUUUGUAUAAAGACACAUGAACAAAGACCUGGGAAUGAACAAUCAUUGGUUGUUUUCACUCAGGCCUGGUGGAUUCUUGUAAAUGUCAUCAGGAGCACUAGGAGGAGUCAGAGGAACCAGAUUUUCUCACAGAUUGUCUGUCUCAUGAACUACUGUCAGGAUAUAAUUAAAGUUACAUCACAUACAAAAAGUUACCUGCUGCAGCUUUAAUACCAGGCCUGGGAGAGUGACAAAUUCCAUGUAACUGAGUUAUCAGGAUAGAAAAAAAAGGUUAAAAAAAGACGUAAUCAGAUGCAGUGUGUGUUGGUUUUCAGUGCAGCAGCUGAAACCACAUUUCAACAGAAACCAUCGCAACAGUCAAACCUGAAACUGCAGAUACAGAUCAGACAGGAAGCAAACAGCAGCUCAGUUUCACAUCAACACAAACCGUCAGCUCGGGUUGCAGUGUGAGAAAACACAUUUAAGAAUAUAUAUUCUUUUCAACUUUAAUUCAACUGUAACCAUAAUAAGCACAAUGGAGAACAUACCUAAACAUGUGAUUUAGUAGUUUGUUCAUUUAUAAUCCACCUAAAGUUCAGUUGUUCCACAGAAAGACUCACUACUGGUUUGUUUAAGGAAAAUGUAUGGGAGCUCAGCUGUGGAACAGUAUCCAAAGUGCAUUUCUCUCUCUACAUUAUUGCAUUUAUUUAGUUGUUUUUUGACAUAUAUUGCAUAUUUUACUUUGUUGUGUAUAACACGAUUUAUUGUAUCUGCCUUUAUUGAACUAUGAUUAUCUUCUUAUCAUCUUCUAUACAGCCAUUAGAGGUUUUUAAAAUCUCACAUGCACACUUUGCUUCUUUUCUCUUAUUUGUGAUUCUGUUUUAUUCUGCAAAUAAAAAAUAAAAUCAAAAAUGUGCAUGAGCAGAUUCUACUGCAGAGACUCACUUUCAUUUGGCUUUACAACUUUUUAACAGUGGAUGUUUGCAGUGACCUCCAGCAGUUGUUCCAACCUUUUUCCUUAAGAAACCAUUUUCUAUAAUUUAUUAAACUGACUCAGUGACAUAUAUAUAGAUAUUUCAUAUUAUAUUACAACUAAACAAUGACCCCAACAGUGAACUCAGUAACUACAGGAAGUUUGUGUAAAACCAGAGAGUUGGAUUAUUUUAUUUAUUUAUUUUUAUUUUAUUUAGAUUAUUUCCUGUUUAUUGAACUUUUUAUAUAGUCUUCUUUUUUAACAGAUUCAGUGUUUUCAUCCCUGUCGCUUGACUUUUGUUCUAUUAAACAAUUUAUAUUCCAUUUAGUUUUCUUCACAGAGGUGAACCAGAUGCUCAGAUAUAGGCCUACUGUGUAUAUUUCUGAAGUUUUCUAGCUCGCUUUAAACCCCAAUGUUGGGAACCACAGCACAUACUGGGUUGUAUUUCUGUGCUGAAUGGUAUCAGGAGCCAACAUUAGUGAAGCAUCAGCAGCAGUGAGGAGCUGCAGGUGAACAGUCAGGGCGGAUAUAAUGAAUGACCCACACAGGAUUCACUACACAGUCUAUGUUUGAGUGUCUUACUGUAGAUAUUUGUGAACUUCAGUACAUUAGCAGUUAUUUAUUCAUGUUUUUGUUUGUUCAUGUGUUAAAGUGGUAACGUUGGCAAAUUACUGAUUAAUGAUUCCACAAAUGUAUCUAUUUUUGGAACGCAGGAAAGAGAUGAUCAGCUCAUCAAUUUGUUUGAUAAAAGCCUUAAAACUGGUCUCAAACUCUAAUUGUCUUAGGGCCACUUCAAUGUUCAAGUGCUACAAGAAACCUUUGACCUUUGCCAACAAUUUUUGCACCCAACAAAAUACUUCUAUUUUUAAAGAGAAUUGUGUUUUUGUGUUCAUUUUGUAUGAAGGUGUAGUUUAAAUUGAUACUGAAACUAGAAAAAGGAAGAAUAAUAAUUCUCAACCCUUUAAAUGCAGCUGUACACAGUAACUCACUCUCCUCAUUUUAUAUUUUAGGAUGCUGCAGUCGAUAUCCAGCUACAAAAAACCCCGAACAUCCACAGUUAGAAUACAGGGUACAGAGUACUGAGUCGUCGCCAUGGAGAUGAACUCUGUCUCAUCUGCUUGCAUUGGUGUGAACUGGCUGGCGUGCAGACCGACACAAAACACAUAUUUCAUAUUCCCACACUUAUAUUACAAUACAGGCAGAUCUAUAAGGUCUAAAGGUCAUAAAACAGGAACUAACGGUGAAAACUGAUUUGGGUUCAGCCUGAGAGACGCUGCCAUCUAGUGGACGACAGCAUGUAAGUCCUGUUGAUGCAUUGAGGGUUCAGUAAUAAAUGUCAUUAAACUUAUGUGUCUCAGACUGAAAAUAAAAAAUAAUAACUUGUUUUGGAAAUCUAACCUCAUUAACAUUGUUAAAAACUUGUUUUAGAGGAUUUAGGAUUCAGUAAUAAACUCAGGGGAUGGUUAUAUUUGCAAUUUCUUGCUUUGGAGAUUGAAUCUGAGAUAUACUUAUAUGAUGAUAUUUCACAGAUGGUCUGACACUGAAUUGGUGACACUUGUGACUCAGAGGUGACCUCAAAAUAGGUUUUUAGCCAUAAUUUAAGAAUGAACUCUCAUCCAUUCUGCCUUUCACCGCCUGCCUCAUUCUGACUGCAGACAACGUAUGAA
rnacentral:lncRNA from 1 species